AGAGUUUGAUCCUGGCUCAGAUUGAACGCUGGCGGCAUGCCUUACACAUGCAAGUCGAACGGCAGCACGGGCUUCGGCCUGGUGGCGAGUGGCGAACGGGUGAGUAAUACAUCGGAACAUGUCCUGUAGUGGGGGAUAGCCCGGCGAAAGCCGGAUUAAUACCGCAUACGAUCUGAGGAUGAAAGCGGGGGACCUUCGGGCCUCGCGCUAUAGGGUUGGCCGAUGGCUGAUUAGCUAGUUGGUGGGGUAAAGGCCUACCAAGGCGACGAUCAGUAGCUGGUCUGAGAGGACGACCAGCCACACUGGGACUGAGACACGGCCCAGACUCCUACGGGAGGCAGCAGUGGGGAAUUUUGGACAAUGGGCGCAAGCCUGAUCCAGCAAUGCCGCGUGUGUGAAGAAGGCCUUCGGGUUGUAAAGCACUUUUGUCCGGAAAGAAAUCAUUCUGGCUAAUACCCGGAGUGGAUGACGGUACCGGAAGAAUAAGCACCGGCUAACUACGUGCCAGCAGCCGCGGUAAUACGUAGGGUGCGAGCGUUAAUCGGAAUUACUGGGCGUAAAGCGUGCGCAGGCGGUUUGCUAAGACCGAUGUGAAAUCCCCGGGCUCAACCUGGGAACUGCAUUGGUGACUGGCAGGCUAGAGUAUGGCAGAGGGGGGUAGAAUUCCACGUGUAGCAGUGAAAUGCGUAGAGAUGUGGAGGAAUACCGAUGGCGAAGGCAGCCCCCUGGGCCAAUACUGACNCACACGCCAGCCCACGCGGUCGGCCCGGCCUUGCGCCACGCGCAUUCCGCCUGCGCGGCGGCGGCGAUGAGCUCGUCGGGCGUCGACUUCGGGUAGCGGACGCCGAGCGCAAACCCGUAUGGCGAACGCUCGGCGCCGACCGUUCCGCCCGAGGCGGGUUGGUCGAGUUCAAAGGGCUUGUCCAACUGGGUUUUGAAUGUUGCUUCGCCGUCUGUAUUGGCGCUUUCCCCGUACACUUUGGGGCUCGGCAUCUCGGCGAACGGGCUCCAGUAGCCGCGCGUUUCGAUCGUGGAGAGCGCGU
rnacentral:rRNA from 1 species